AAUAACUACACUAGUUGCAAUAACUACACUAGUUGCAAUAACGAUGGUGCGUUUAACCCGUUAAACAACCAAACUAAAUAUACUACUUCGAACGAAUUUGUAAAUUCUCAAGAUAAGCACAGGAAUUUUGAGAAUAAAAUGGAUAAUAAUAACAUAAGUGAAAACAAUGUAUUUAUGCAAAAUGGUAAUGACUGUAAAAACAAUAUACAUACAUCAGCUGAUUCGCAAAAAUUUAAGAGUGAUGGUGGUGGUAGUGAUGGUGGUGGUAGUGAAGGUGGUGGUAGUGAAGGUGGUGGUAGUGAAGGUGGUGGUAGUGAAGGUAGCCACAGCAAAAGGCGCAGCAACAAGAGCGGCUACAGUAAAACAAAACACUUCUAUUAUUUUGAAGACAUGUAUAAUAUAACUGAUUUAAAAUCGUUAAGCGAAAACAAACUAAAUAGUUUUUUUUAUGAAUUGAAUGAUAUAUGGUUAAAGAUCAUAUAUAAAAUAUUUUAUCAUAUGCUUAUAUGCUCUAUACUGUUUAGUUCAUGCUUUUCAUAUGUGGUAAUGAAUAAUUUAAAAGUGGGUAAUGAGGGAAUUAAAGAAAGGAUUAAAGUUGGUUUGAUGAGAAAUAGAAUAUACAGUAAUGGCAGUAAUGGCAGUAACGACAGUAAUGACGUUAGUGAUGAUUGUAACCAUUAUAACAACAAUGGUAGUUGUAAUGGCAUCUCCAAUGUGUAUAAAAAAAUUAAAAGUUUAACAAAAAAGGAUAAGAAAAAGAUUGCAAAUUGUAUGAAUUACAUUCAAAAUGAAGAAAAGAAGGUAUUAUUUAUGUGCACUAAUAUUAUAAUAUAUUUAAGUAAAAAUAAUUUUUAUGAUUUGGUUAAAUAUUCAAUCAAUGUAUUAUUUAAAUUAUUGUUUCAGUAUCCUCAGAUAUUUUAUAUUUUUCAAAUAUUAUGUGCUUUAAGUAAUACUAGUAUGUUAUUUUGCAGUAUCUGUUUGAAUUAUAUAAUUAGGAAAUUAAAAAAAAUGUUACAAAUAAAAAACAAUUUAAAACCAUUGCUUUAUUAUGAUAAAAAAAGUAAAAAUAAAAUUUAUUACGAGUUGUAUGCAUAUAAAACGUUAUACAAAUUAUAUUCACCAUAUGAUUGUUUAAUGCUUUUUCAACCAAAUAGCAAAAAUUACGAAUCGAGUGUCUUGACUUCUGAUGAGUCCACUGACAGUAGGAUGAAAAGAGAGUGUACUAAGAUGAGGGUGAAUACGGGAGAUAAUGAAUUUCGUUCAAUAGAUAAAAGUGAGGAACACAUGGAACAAGCUAUUGAGAAAAAUAUGGAACGAAGAAAUGUUUUGAAUGUGCCAAUCAAAUCAGUUGAUAAACCGCAUUUGAAAACUAUUAAAAAUGGUUUAUACGACAAAAGAAAAAAAAAUAAAACAUAUAUGAAUUUUAUUUUUGAAGAACAAAACAGAAGGUACAAUUCAUUAAGUAAUAGAUCUGUUAUUAAUCAGAGUUUUGAAUGUAAUAAAGUGGGAAAAAAGAUGAAAAUAGUAUAUGACCAGGUAAGUAAAUAUAUGCCGAGUAUUGAUUAUUUUGAUUACGACAUGUUAGAUGAAUACAAAAAUGAGAAAGAGGAUAUGAGUGGAAUUGAAUCAAGUGUUUGUCGUGAUUGUCGUGAUUGUCACAGAAGUUGUAGUAGUGCUAGUAGUGCUAGUAGUGGUAGUAGUGGUAGUAAUAGAAAUACUAAUGCGAUGAACACCAUUAAAGAGUUUAAGCAUUCUAAUGAUAAGAUAAGGUGUGACAGCAAAUACAGCAAUAAAGUUGAGAAAAGUAAAUUAUAUAAAUAUAAUGUAAUAAAAAAAAAAAAAAGAAACAGAAGUUUCUUUUUUCAUGAUAUAUCAAAACGUGAUAUAAUAGACCCUUCUUAUUUUUUAUCCAAUUAUGGUAAGCACAAUAUUUUUGUGCAUGAUAAAAUGGGUUCGUACGAGAUGGGGAAACAAAACCAACUGUACAAACAAAAUCAGGUGCAUGAAGAGAAGGAAGUACACGAAGAGAAUACAAAUAAAUGGAGACAGUGUCCUUGUCGUUUAUCGGCCGAUACGAAUGGUGAUUAUUCAAAGAGUAGUUUUUUAUUUCCAAAUGAAUAUGAUCCCAUAGAGUACGUAAAAAACAACUGUAAUAUGGACGCUUGUAAGAACAAUAUGGACGGUCGUAAGAACAAUAUGGACGGUCGUAAGAACAAUAUGGACGGUCGUAAGAACAAUAUGGACGGUCGUAAGAACAAUAUGGAUGCUUGUUACGGGAAUUCCAGUUGUGUUAUAGCCCCGGUUGAAAACUUUAAGACGAAAAUGUUAAUAAAUAACAGAAGCACGAAAAAGAAAGAGAGAAUGUUUAAAAAAAAAAAAAAAAGCAUUUUCAACGAUUAUAUUAAAACAGAUAGAUAUAUUAUAGGGCACAAUUCGCUUACCAUGAAUAAUACAUUUCAUAUUUAUUUGUCAUAUAACGAACUUAUAAUAAAAAUAAUGUCUUUAAUCUUGGAUGUGGUAAAAUAUUAUUUUAAUUAUUAUAAUUACUUUUUAAAGGAAUUAAAAAUUAUAUCAGAAAUAUGUUUUGACAUAAUAUUAAAAAAUAAAAAAAACUUGGAUAUUUUGCAUUUGAUCAUGUUACUUUUAAAAACUUAUUGUUUUGUAUAUUUAGAAAAAGAUUUAAAAAAUUGUAAUAAAAAUUGUUUUGAUUUGUACUUACAAAAUAAAAAAUUGUUUUAUUCUGAUGGUUUUGGUAUAUCAAAACGUUUGAAAUAUAUACUUUCUGAUGAAAGUGCGAAAACAAAAAUCAAAAAAAAUAAUACGCAAGUAAGGGAGUUAAAAAAUGAUGAUAUCACGAUGGGUAAUUAUUUUGGUUGUGUAAAUCGGGGCGACAAUGAGGGUACGUGCUUAAACUCAGGAACAUGUGUUGGCGUAAAUACAGGAACAUGUGUUGACGUAAGUACAGACACAUGUACUAAAUCCAACAGAGGUAUAAUCGGAAAAACAGUUAAAAUUGAAAAAACUAAUGAAACGGAGAGUGAAUGCAAUCCCAUUGGGUUGGAUAAUGAAAAAAAUCAUCGCACUAUUAAUUUAGUAAAAAAUGAGAACCUGGUUAAUAAGGAAACAGAAGAUAGUACAUUAUUAAACAAAUCAGUGCGUCCUGAUUUAAGAAUUAAUGUAAUGGAUUAUAUUUAUAAAAAUGAAUAUAAAGAUGAACAUAAAAAUAAAGAUAAAAAUAGAGAUAAAAGUAGAGAUAAAAAUAGAGAUAAAAAUAGAGAUAAAAAUAGAGAUAAAAAUAGAGAUAAAAAUAAAGACAAAAAUAAAGAUAAAAAUAAAGACAAAAAUAAAGAUAAAAAUAAAGAUAAAAAUAAAGAUAAAAAUAAAGACAAAAAUAAAGAUAAAAAUAAAGAUAAAAAUAAAGAUAAAAAUAAAGAUAAAAAUAAAGAUAAGAGUAAGGUAGAUAUAAUAACUAGUUUUAUAGUACGCUUUGAAAAAAGUUUUUUCUAUUUACCUAAGUUUUAUAAAAUAUUUUUUUGUGAGUUAUGUUUAAAACUACCAAUUGAGUACUUCAUGAAUAAGCAUUUUCAUUUAUAUAUGAAAUCAUUAUUUGUGUGUUUAAGUUGUAAAAAUAUAAACAGAGUAAAAAGUGCCUUGGAAUCACUCGAAUUAAAUUUGUGUAUAAUUAAUAAUGAGUAUGUAAAAAAUAACUUAUGUUCAAAUUGGUUUUAUAAAUAUAAAAAGGGAAAAAACGAAAAUGUUUUAAGUUAUUUAAUUAAGUUAUUAAAAAAAAACAUAUCAUUUGAUUUUAGUUUUGGUAGUAUAUACCAUCAGAAAUAUUAUUUUAAUAACCUCUAUACAAAUUUUGAUGAUGCGUUUUGUCUUCUCCGUAGUAGUGCACUUAUACAAAACGAAAGACAAGUUUGUACACAAGAAGGACAUGCUAUACGUGUGCAUAUGAAUGAAAUAUAUAUGAAAAAUGUUUUAACAAUUAUAAAAAUAUUAUAUAAGGUAUACCCAGAAAAGGGUUUUACGCAAAAUUUUUAUGCCAAAACAAAUGCAAACCGAUCUAAACAUUCGAUUUUUAAAAUCGGUUUUUUCUUGAAAUCUUGUUUACUAAGAAAGGGUAGAGUUGAAGAGGGGAAUACUGCGAAGGAACAACAAAAAGGUUGUAUAGUAGCUAACUCAGUAGCUAAUCCGGAGACAAACAGACUGAUAUAUGACAGUCGCAUGUGCAACAAAAAUGAUUAUAUAAAAAACACAUGGGACAAGAGAAAGCAUAAAUUGAAUGGUAACAUCAAAAGGUUCUCAAACAAAAUGAAAAAUGUGAAAAAAAAAAAAAAAAAAAAAUGUCUUAGGACGCAGGUAAUAAAAAAUAAAAACAUUAUAAAAAAGGUAAGCAAGAAAGGAAAUGGUCAUAUUUAUGUAGCCUUCCGAAGAAAGGGAAACAAUAAUAUUGGUAGUAGUGGUGGUAGUAGUGGUAGUAGCAGUGGUGGUAGUAGUGGUAGUAGUGGUAGUAACAGUGGUGGUAGUAGUGGUAGUAGCAGUGGUGGUAAUAGUGGUGGUAAUAGUGGUAGUAGCAGUGGCGGUAGUAGCAGUGGCGGAUGUAGCAGUGGUGAUAGUAGCAGUGGUGGUAGUAAUAACAAUGAUAAAAACAAAGCAAAAACACAUGAGGUAUUAACAAGUGAAGGUAAUAAUGAUGGUAAGAAAGGUAAGAAGGAUAAAUGCAACAAGAGCGACAAGAACAUUCACACCACUGUAACGAACAGUGUUACACAAAAGGAAUCAUUGAUUAAUAAUGCAAGCUACUUUGAAGGAAAUAAAAAAAAUGACAUUUCUUGCAACUCCGAUAUUCAUAGGAAUGUUAUACACAUGGAAAAUAUCGAAAACAUUAAAAAUGACAAUUUUGAGAAUAUUUUAGAACAUAUAGAUUUGAAGGAAUGUUUAGAUUAUUGUUAUAAAGUUUUAAAAUAUACGAGAAAAAAAAAGAAUUUAGAAUAUUUAUAUUAUUAUAAAAUGG
rnacentral:lncRNA from 1 species